GUCUUCAUGGCUUAGUUGGUUAAAGCGUCGGUCUCAUAUCUUCAAAGAUGUGAUCCACUCUCAGAGUGGGAUAUCCGAAGGUCGCGAGUUCGACUCUCGCUGAGGACA